rnacentral:rRNA from 1 species
GACGAACGCUGGCGGCGUGCCUAAUACAUGCAAGUAGAACGCAGUGGCGAACAGGUGAGUAACGCGUGGGUAACUGCCUGGAAGAGGGGGAGAAAUAUUGGAAACGAUAGCUAAUACCCCAUACUCGCAGAUGGCCGUGCGUUGUAUUAGCUAGUUGGUGAGGUAACGGCUACCCCAGGCAACGAUACAUAGCCGACCUGGGGGGGUGAGCGGCCAACACGGGGAUGGGACACGGGCCAGGAUCCUUCGGGGGGGCGCAGGAGGGAAACUGCGGCAAUUGGGGGAACGCUGGCCGGGCAACGGCGCGGUGGGUGAGGAGGUUUGCGGGUCGGUAAGCUCUUUUGUGAAGGAAGCGGUACUUAACCAGAAAGGGACGGCUAACUACGUGCCAGCAGCCGCGGUAAUUC